rnacentral:rRNA from 1 species
AAUCUUCGGCAAUGGACGAAAGGUCUGACCGAGCAACGCCGCGUGAGUGAGGAUGGUAUUCGGAUCGUAAAGCUCUGUUGCCAGGGAAGAACUCCUGGGGGAGUCACUGCCUUCAGGUUGACGGUACCUGAGAAGAAAGCCCCGGCUAAAUACGUGCCAGCAGCCGCGGUAAUACGUAGGGGGCAAGCGUUGUCCGGAAUUAUUGUGCGUAAAGCGCGCGCAGGCGGCUGAUUAAGUCUCAUGUUUAAACGCGGGGCUCAACCUCGUGUCGGAUGGGAAACUGGUCAGCUUGAGUGCAGGAGAGGGAAGCGGAAUUCCACGUGUAGCGGUGAAAUGCGUAGAGAUGUGGAGGAACACCAGUGGCGAAGGCGGCUUUCUGGUCUGUAACUGACGCUGAGGCGCGAAAGCGUGGGGAGCAAAC